GCUCAUUCAAUGUCUGGAGCAAGCUUUCUGCACUCCACUGCCGGUGCUUUCUGGCUUCAAAAGCAGCUUCGAGACUGAGGAAUAGUAGACAGGAUUAGAAUAAGGCCCGGGAGUUCUACAACUCUGCUGAAUUCAAAAGGACCAUGAUCUUGGUCAGCUAAACCACACCCGAUGGCCAAGGGGCAGAGGAAAAGAUGGCAGAGUAGAGACUCUUGGACUUACUCAUUUGGAUUUUGGAGUUUUACCUGACUUGGUCAAGCCUCAUGCCAGAUCCAGGCUGAGGAGGAAGAGGAAGAGGAGGGGUUGGUCUUGCUGUCUCAAGAGUAGCAGAAGCAGAAGAAAAUCCAAGUUGGUCAAAGGAAGAGGAGGAUCAAUGGCCUUUUUUCCUCCCCCCAACCUUUUUUUUUUUUUUUUUUUUUAAACAAAGAAGCAAAGUGAGAACAUUAAGCCCGAAAGAGAACUGUGUUCAUUGCAGGACUUUUUGAGGUCUGGUUAAGCCAUUUAUAUAAAGAAAUUACACAGUUCCUCUUUGGUAACCUCAAUCCUGAAAGUUAGUGUGACAGGCCUACAGCUUUUUGUUCU
rnacentral:lncRNA from 10 species